AACGCGAAGAACCUUACCUGGGCUCGAACGGCUGCGGAAAGCCGGUGGAAACACUGGUUCUCCCGCAAGGGACCGUAGUCGAGGUGCUGCAUGGCUGUCGUCAGCUCGUGUCGUGAGAUGUUGGGUUAAGUCCCGCAACGAGCGCAACCCUUGUCCUGUGUUGGCAUGCCGAAAGGCGCAACUCUCAGGAGACCGCCAGCGAUAAGUUGGAGGAAGGUGGGGAUGACGUCAAGUCAUCAUGGCCUUUAUGUCCAGGGCUACACACGUGCUACAAUGGGCGGUACAAAGCGCUGCAAACCCGCGAGGGGGAGCUAAUCGCAAAAAACCGUUCUCAGUUCGGAUCGCAGGCUGCAACUCGCCUGCGUGAAGCUGGAAUCGCUAGUAAUGGCAUAUCAGAACGAUGCCGUGAAUACGUUCCCGGGCCUUGUA
rnacentral:rRNA from 1 species